CACAAACAUAUGAGUCUGCAUUUUAAAUCUUAUGUUGACGGAAAAUCAAAAUCAAAAGUCAGAACUUUGUUGUGCUCCCUUAGAAUAAUGUCCCUAAGGUUGCAUGCUUGUGAUUAUCAGAGGCAGAUGGAAGAAUGUACAAACAAGCAUUCAUCUGCACAGAGGAGAUCAUCGUUCAACUCAGACUUUCCUAAAUGUGCUCAUUCACUGCCCACAACUUGAACUCCUUUUAACCCGCAGGCUGGCGAACAGCGGGUGCAGCCGAGAUUAACUUCUCCUCAGAGCACAGGGAUCUACUUCAUCCAUGCACCACACAAAGUGCAAAUCAUCACCUCCCAUGGGACAUAUCACACAAGGAGCUGCUGGCUCAGAGAAGCCAGGCAGAGCCAUCAGUCACAUUCCAGCCUCAGAAAACACUGAUUACACACCAGAUCUGCAAGUAAAUAAGACCAAUGUAACUCUUUCUUCAGAUGAGCUGCACUUAGGUGUGGACACAUACUGAAGUACCCUGCUGAGUCAGAUAGACUCCAUCAUCUGCUUGUUCAUAAAAGAUAUCUUCAACUGUUUCAAGUUUGGAAUGAUUCCAGGAAAAAAAAAAAAAAGAAAAAGAAAAAAAAAUAUUACCAUCCAACUUACAUUUGUAGCUACUUUUUCUUCAUAAUUUAUAAAAAAUGAUGUGUGGUUUUGAAAGUUUUUCAAUGUACUGUUUCACCUAAAAGGGCUUAAAAACUUUGAGACAAAUCUGCUUCUUUUCAUCAAGUCUUCAGCUUGUUCUGUUUCAUCAUUAGUACUGAACACUUACCUUGGAAGGUAGAUAUGAGAAAGAGGAAAAGUACUUUAAUGCUGCAACACUGAUUUCAUUGAUGAAAAAAUUGGAAAUUAAGCAGAGUGCCAGAAAGUAGGGAUAGAUUCAAAAGCUAAAUGCUUUCCAGUAGUUUCAAACAUAAGUAUCUGUUAGAUGAAAGCGCAAGACAAGAAAAAGAAGAGACCAUAUGGUUUCAAUGCUGUCAAUGUGAAAACAAAGCCACUCUUAAAAAUAGUUAACUGAUGAUCCUUCUGAAUUAGAUCAGACAUCUUCCUGCCAUUGAGAGGAAGAAGACAUAAUGCUGCAUGCCACACAGCAUGCUUUAGAAAAAAGAAAUCCUUGGAUGAAACAUCUUAUAUAUGUAAAUAAAUUAUUCUACUGAUUCUAACA
rnacentral:lncRNA from 1 species